CUGUUCUAUGAGCUUCUGGUAUAGGAAAGGUGCCCACGAGGAAAACAGUAGAAUUCCUUUUGCAAAACAAGAUGGAUAGUGAAGACCAUAGGCACAUAAGAUGGACUGAUAUGAAAAUGGAAGAAUAAAUGAUGACUAAGCAACAGGCAGGUGAUGUGUGGAGAUUGAUAGCUAUUAGAGAUAAGAGAAAACUAUAUCAACCUGUAAUACCCGACAUCUUGAUAGUCAUUCCUGCCUUUGUCACAUCCCGGCUCGAUUACUGCAAUGCCCUUUACUUUGGAGUCAGCCAGUCCUCCAUUAAGCGUUUCCAGCUGGUCCAGAAUGCCGCUGCUCGCCUCUUGACUGGUACUUGUAAGAGGAAGCACAUAACUCCUACUCUGACAUCCCUUCACUGGCUCCCCAUUCAUUUUAGAGUUAUUUUCAAGAUCCCGCUCUUUGUUUUCAAAUCUCUGAAUAAUCUCGCGCCACCUUACCUCUCUGAGCUCAUCCGCCCCUACACACCUGCCCGGCACCUCAGACAUUAUUAGAAGUACCAAGAACUAAACUAAGGCUCAGAGGGGAUGGAGCCUUUUCUGUUGCUGGUCCCUCUCUCUGGAAUGACCUCCCACUGAACAUUCGGCAAGCCUCCUCGCUGCCCAUCUUUAAAGCCUUCCUCAAAACUCACAUGUAUUCUUUGGCAUUCGACUCAGCAUGACUUAGAUUUGUUCUUGGUUUUACAGUUUGGUGCUUUCUACCGCCUUUAUUACCGAUUUGUAUUACUGUUUAUUGUGCAUGUUAAAUUGCUCCAUGUACAGCACUUUGUAUGCAGCGAUGGCUUUUUGAAAGUGCUCUAUGAAUACAGUUGACUUGACUUG